GGUGAAGCAGGUGAAAUAAUUACAUCCUUGCAGCCAGGACAGAAGGGUGACCCAGGAUUUCCAGGUCUUCCAGGGAUACCUGGCCCACCCGGCUCCGUGGGAAUACCAGGUCCAGUUGGCCCCCCAGGGCCCCCAGGUUUGACGGUAAGUUUCUUUAACCUGUUGCUCAUAAAGCCUUAAAUGGGACAGUUACUACUUGGUUUCGUGUUCUCAGAGGCAGGUCAGUGAAUUGCAGAGAUCAUGGUAGUCAGCACUUGGUAUGAAGACAGCAGCAACCAUGCAUUCAGUUCAGCCUUGGAGCUGUUACUGUGCACGUGUAAAUAAGAUACUUUUGAAACAACCUGUUCCCCAACACCUUUUUGCUUUAAGUGGUGCUGAAUCGUUGUGCAGGCUUCUCACUUGUGUGAAACAUGGGGUAAGAUUUAGCUUAUUUAGACUAGGACGUUUAAUGCCUGACUGUUUAAUUUCAUUUUACUCUCUCACUUAAGGGAAGAACUAGUUUCUUACAUAUUUGUGAAGUAAAAUAGCAUGAGUUUUCAAAGGAAGGUGCCUUGUCAGCAUGGAGAUAAUUCACAGGAAUUAAAGCUGCAACAUUGUUGUGUGGGUUUUUCUCUACAGGGGUUUGUAAAGUGCUUUUAUGUGACUUGUUUUUUGGUUUCCUUUUUCAAUAGGGACCUCCUGGUCCACCAGGGCUGCCAGGACCCAAGGUAUUGUCUUUCUCAUAUUGAUGGUGGUGGUGGACUCUUUUCUUUCUCUUUCUGUUUAUUUAUGACUUCCAAGGGCUGAUGAGUUAUACUUUUUGCAGGGUAAUAUGGGUUUGAAUUUCCAAGGACCCAAAGGUGAAAAAGGUGAACAAGGUCUUCAGGGACCUCCAGGGCCACCAGGACAAAUUGGAGAACAGAAAAGACCAAAUGACAUUGAGUUUCAGAAAGGAGAUCAGGGUAUUCCAGGUGAUCCAGGCCCACCAGGACUUCCUGGGCCACCAGGCCCUCCUGGUCUUCCCGGUGGCAUAAAAGGUGAAAAAGGUGAGCAAGGAGAACCAGGCAAAAGAGUAAGUAGUCUGUUUAACCAAACACUUAUCUUUCCAUUCAGUGUUAUUGUUGACAAUUAA
rnacentral:lncRNA from 1 species